AUGAUGAACACAAAGGGAAAGAGGAGAGGCGCCCGAUAUAUGUUCUCUAGGCCCUUUAGAAAACAUGGACUUGUUCCUUUGGCCACGUAUAUGCGAAUCUAUAAGAAAGAUGAUAUUGUAGACACCAAGGGAAUGGGUACUGUUCAAAAGGAAUGCCCCACAAGUGUUAGCAUGGCAAAACUGGAAGAGUCUACAAUGUUACCCAGCAUGCUGUUGGCAUUGUUGUAAACAAACAAGUUAAGGGCAAGAUUCUUGCCAAGAGAAUUAAUGUGCGUAUUGAGCACAUUAAACACUGUGAGCCGAGAUAGCUUCCUGAAACACAUGAAGGAAAAUGAUCAGAAAAAGAAAGAAGCCAAAGAGAAAGGUACCUGGGUUCAACUAAAGCGCCAGCCUGCUCCACCCAGAGAAGCACACUUUGUGAGAACCAAUGGGAAGGAGUCUGAGCUGCUGGAACCUAUUCCCUAUGAAUUCAUGGCAUAA
rnacentral:lncRNA from 1 species